GAUGAACGCUGGCGGCGUGCCUAAUACAUGCAAGUCGAGCGAACAGACGAGGAGCUUGCUCCUCUGACGUUAGCGGCGGACGGGUGAGUAACACGUGGAUAACCUACCUAUAAGACUGGGAUAACUUCGGGAAACCGGAGCUAAUACCGGAUAAUAUAUUGAACCGCAUGGUUCAAUAGUGAAAGACGGUUUUGCUGUCACUUAUAGAUGGAUCCGCGCCGCAUUAGCUAGUUGGUAAGGUAACGGCUUACCAAGGCAACGAGGCGUAGCCGACCUGAGGGGGUGAUCGGCCACACUGGAACUUAGACACGGUCCAGACGCCUACGGGAGGCAGCAGUAGGGAAUCUUCCGCAAUGGGCGAAAGCUUGACGGAGCAACGCCGCGUGAGUGAUGAAGGUCUUCGGAUCGUAAAACUCUGUUAUUAGGGAAGAACAAAUGUGUAAGUAACUAUGCACGUCUUGACGGUACCUAAUCAGAAAGCCACGGCUAACUACGUG
rnacentral:rRNA from 1 species